CCCCACGAACCCUAUCGCUCCAGAUCCGCACCCCGCCGCUCUCACCCUCGUCUCCCACAUCGCCGCCGCCACCCACGCCGAUCCCACCCCUCCCCUUGUCUCCCUCCCAAACCUUGCCGCCGGCGGCCUCUCCCCCUCCUCUCCUCUCCCCCACCUCAGGCGGAGCCCCCCACCUAUCCAUCUCUCUCCAGCGACCCCUCUCUCUCCCCUGGGACUCAUCUUCGCCGCUAGGGUUUGCGGUGGCUUUGCCCCACGCUCGCCACGUCUCUCCGGCAACCAGGACACAACGACGUCGACGGGAUCUGAUGGGUGUGUUGCUCCGGCGCUGUUCCGGUGAUCCGAACGACGCCUUCGCGCGCGGGACGGGUGGGUUCCAGCGCGGCCGCGUGGUGCACGGCAUGCUCGUCGCCUCCCUCUUCCCCGCCCUCAUCACCUCCCACGCCCCUGGUGCCAUGUACGCGAGCCAGUCCCUCAAGUUCGCGGCGCCCGUGCACGUCAGAGACGAGGUGGUCGCGCAGGUGCAGGCGCUGCACAUCAAGGCAACCGGCGCAAGGCACAUUUCGCCACCAAGUGCUUGACGGACGAUGAGGAGACUUUCGCCAUUGAUGGCGAGGCCAUGGCUUUUUCUGCCCACGCUGCAGCUCAGCGCAGAGGCAAUCGAGUGACAAACUCGCGGUGAAGAAGAGAAAGCCGAGAAGGACUCCAACAAGCUUAGGUGCCCCUGAGUGCCUUCUUAGUCUUCAUGGACAGCUUCAGGAAGGACUCCAACAUCAAGCAGGUCUCCAUGGUUGGCAAGGCCGGUGGUGAGAAGUGGAAGUGUCUUGAGUGAUGCUAAGGAGAAGUCUCCCUAUGUUGCGAAGGUUGAGAUGCUCAAGGCCGAGUACACCAAGAAGAUCGAUGCUUACAACUACCCAUAGGCAGGAGAGGCGUCGAGCAAAUCUGACAAGUCCAAGUCUGAGGUGAGCGACAAGGACGACGUCAACGAGGGUGGCUAAUGAUGCGGCACACCAAGCAGAAAUGGGGGAAGGGGGUCUCUGGAAUGUCGCUGUUGCCGCUUAUUGCUGAAGUCACCAAUUUAUGAUGGAUGGUCAUUGUUAGUUUAGCUCCUUGGUAGUCCCUCUUUCAAGCGGCUGUAGCUGGUAGAAAUGGUAGCUACUGUGUCCCAUGCAGUUCAUGUUCUCAGACUGCCCUUUGUUGCUUCAUUUUGAUGUCAAUUUAGUCUCCGUUGAAUGUACCUACUGUGUGCUCGUGGCUGUUUCAAAAGUCCUUCCAUGUUGAAAGAAAUAAAAUGCUCUCAAUACUUGUUCGAA